AUGCCUCCAUCCGCUCACACCUCCAGUGUACCAGAGUGCGCGGCUGGACAUCAGGUUUGCUCGACCUGCCACGGCAACCUCGCGGACAAGAACAAAUGUACCUCCUGCUUCAUCACCGCUGGCUUCAGCCGGUGCUUCAUCCGCACCAGCUACAGCCGCUGCCACGACGUCGAGCGCAUGCUGUCAUCCGUUCAUAUCGCUUGCCGCAGCACCGUCUACCAGGAGAAGGUGGAGCAUGAGAAGACGUGUCCCGUCAGAGCCGGCAUGCAAGCCAUGGUUUCGGUCGUCAAGACAGGCCCUUGCGGUGGCGGUGACGGCAAGGAGUGGGAUAUGGACGUGCGCGGCGUCAACUGUAUCACUAAGGUGGUUGUCUGGCACCGCAGUUGUGUGUUCGAUGCCAUGUCGGUGCUGUACGAGCGGGACGGCCGGGUGGAGCAGACUGAGGAGUGGGGAAAACCUGCUGCAUCAGCUGGAGGAGAACGCUCAGAGAUUUGUCUAGAGUUGGACGAGUACCUCAUCAGUGUGAAAGGGCACUUAGGCACUAUCUAUGACCGGUUGAGUGUGAGAUCGCUCACUUUCAUAAGCAAUCGGCGCACUUACGGGCCAUACGGGAAGGAGGAGGGUGCGCCGUUCGAGCUCCCUGCAGCGGGUGGCAGAAUCGUCGGCUUCCAUGGGCGCUCCGAUUCAUACCUGAAUGCGCUUGGCACCUACGUCAAGAUGGACGCCUAA
rnacentral:rRNA from 1 species